CGCUACCUGCAGUCGGACGGUAGCACAGAGGAGCUUGCUCCUUGGGUGACGAGUGGCGGACGGGUGAGUAAUGUCUGGGGAUCUGCCCGAUAGAGGGGGAUAACCACUGGAAACGGUGGCUAAUACCGCAUAACGUCGCAAGACCAAAGAGGGGGACCUUCGGGCCUCUCACUAUCGGAUGAACCCAGAUGGGAUUAGCUAGUAGGCGGGGUAGUGGCCCACCUAGGCGACGAUCCCUAGCUGGUCUGAGAGGAUGACCAGCCACACUGGAACUGAGACACGGUCCAGACUCCUACGGGAGGCAGCAGUGGGGAAUAUUGCACAAUGGGCGCAAGCCUGAUGCAGCCAUGCCGCGUGUAUGAAGAAGGCCUUCGGGUUGUAAAGUACUUUCAGCGGGGAGGAAGGCGGUGAGGUUAAUAACCUUGCCGAUUGACGUUACCCGCAGAAGAAGCACCGGCUAACUCCGUGCCAGCAGCCGCGGUAAUACGGAGGGCGCAAGCGUUAAUCGGAAUUACUGGGCGUAAAGCGCACGCAGGCGGUCUGUUAAGUCAGAUGUGAAAUCCCCGGGCUUAACCUGGGAACUGCAUUUGAAACUGGCAGGCUUGAGUCUCGUAGAGGGGGGUAGAAUUCCAGGUGUAGCGGUGAAAUGCGUAGAGAUCUGGAGGAAUACCGGUGGCGAAGGCGGCCCCCUGGACGAAGACUGACGCUCANGUGCGAAAGCGUGGGGAGCAAACAGGAUUAGAUACCCUGGUAGUCCACGCCGUAAACGAUGUCGACUUGGAGGUUGUUCCCUUGAGGAGUGGCUUCCGGAGCUAACGCGUUAAGUCGACCGCCUGGGGAGUACGGCCGCA
rnacentral:rRNA from 1 species